GGCUGUUUUGCGACACUUUCAUGUCUGAUGGAAAGGAGGCUCUAGGCUAGGGGACAGGACACAAGAGGAAAGGGACAAAACAUGUAAGGGACUGGGAGACAUGGGACACAGGACAUAAAAUAAAACCAUGAUUGUUUUUUUCUUUUAUGAUGCUUUAAAGCAAAUUAUUAGUGAAUGAUCACAUCAUGAAAUAAAGGAAUGUGAAUUCCAAUGAUGUGCAUUAAAGACAAAAGUGUUUUAUGGUGGCAAAUGAGUGGGAGACAUUAAUGGAUUUCAAGUUCACAUAAUGAGCUCGGCCAUUGUUUCAUUUGUGAAGCAAACUGAUGAGGAUGUGUGACACUUUAGCUUGAGCUGUUGGUGAAGAAAAAAAAACCCGCCAAGCUGUUGUGAUUGAUGUGGUGUUGUGGAACAAAUGUGCUGAAAAAAUAAAAAGUAAUAAAAUGUAUCCAAAGCAAUGUCUCCCAUCUCUUUAUUCUCGCUCGUUGUGUUUGCCACGUCCUCAAAGGUUCUGCCAAACAGAAAAGUAAACUUCAAAGUGAGUUGAUCAAUUGGCACAGAAGCUCGAUGUUUUUCAGUCGGAGCUCCAUCGAGGUCCAGUCGUCUGGUUUGGCUGCACAGUUUCUGACCUCGCCGACGCCUCUGAGGUCUGGGGAUGCAACUGGAGCUCACACAAAUGAUCCUUUCACCCCAUCAGCACCUCAGACAAGCUGACUGCAUGCCAAGGAGAUCAAGCUACUCAGAGUGCAGAAGCAGGUCUACUUUAAUCAAAAAGACAGUUGCUUUAGAUAAAAUAAGCCCACUCCUGCUCUAUAACAGAGUAAGUACUGCAGCUUGACUAAUGUCUAUUGAACCAUUUUCAUUACAAACUACUUCAUCAAGACUUAAAACCUUCAGCAGGCAGUUUUUCUUCCAAUCCAAUAAAAUCCCUCCAGCACUGCUGGACUAAAACACACAAUACUGCAGUUCCAUAGAGCUGUAAAAUCUAAAAUAAACACAGAAAUACAGACGUAUUUCUUCCUAGCAUUCUUCUCUCGUCCCUUUUUAGCUCAGCUGCUGGGUGUCUUUAAAGACCCGUGGGUGUUCUGCUAGCAGCGGAUAUUUUAGCCCCAAGCAAAUCUGAGGAAAAGGCUACAGGAGUUGAGUACGACUUUGUUUCCACGCCGAGUGAUGCGGAACUGCCAAAGAUAAAAGAUGACUGGUGCGAGGGAACUGCAGCAGAAUCUUUGAUUAUGAUUCUGGUUCCAGCAGAAGCCUCAGGGAAGAUACCCGAGGGGAGGGAUAAUCUUCAAAAGCCAUCAUGCAUUCAUCUGUGUCUCCUCAACUUCAUUAUAACAAUAACUUUCAAUGAGUCAUUCACCUGCUUCAGUUUUUAUGAGGACUUCUGGUGUUACCGGAACUGGAAAACUGGAUGUCUGAGGGUGUCUGAUGCUAUCUGGCAAGGUCAUCGCUAUAAGUGUCACGUUGCGGGUGUAGGAGUUGAUGGACCAUGUGUGGUGGAGCAGAUCAGGAGGUAAAGAUGCAGGCUUCAGAUAAAGUAAAAUGGUUUUAAUGGUGGGACAGGAAGGAACAGCACAAGACAACGAUGACAAACAACCACAAUGAUCCGACAAAGACUGAUACAAGGAGGGAGGUAUAAAUACACAGGGCAAAUGAGGAACACAUGGGCAGGUAAACAAGGGGCAGGUGAAAACAAUAAGGACUAAUCAAGGGCAGGAGAGAGACACAGUCAGGGAGGCAGGGGAAGACCGUGACAAUAAGUGGGUCGCUUGGAUUAUGAUGGUUGCUAUCAAGGUCGCUCUAUAGAUCCGGUUGCUUAUGGUGCAUCUGAUGGACGCCAGAUAAAUUAAAAUACGGGGAUUUUGGAUCCUCUUCCUUGUAGCUUUAAUCCUUUUAGCAUACUGGAGGCCAUAAAAUUCAAUUUCCCAAGAGGAAACAAACAGUUGUCAUGUUUUAGGUUUACACAGAUGUUUGGUUGUGAUGAUGCACAAACUUUUAAGGAUUUUGCAUUUUAGCCCCUAUGUGGUGCCACAUGAAAAUAGCUAAAGGACAUUUAAACUACAUUGGUACAAUAGGCCAUAACACUAAAGCCUGGUGCCUGGUUUAUGCUUCUCCGUCAGCUCCGCAAGGGACAGACACGCACGGAUUGACGGAAGCGUUUUGCUCUCAUACUUCUUCGUCUCCUGGAGAGUGUUGCAAAGCAAUUGCCCGGCAGGACAACAGAGGGCGUUUUGCUGUUCUGUGGUAUCCUGUCAUGUAUCGGUCCAAGAUAGUGUGUUUAUAUUGUGUGUUUUGUAUAUAUAAGAUACUUUUAACACGGACAUAUUUGUCUCUCAUUCUCCCACCUCUUCAUGCACUCCCCACCUCUAAACCCAUGUUUCCAGUCAUUUCCGUCCACAAAUAAAAUGCUUGCUGUGCAUCAUUUCACUCCUCCAGUCACGGGAGAAUUAAACAUUCAUAUUUUUAGAGUUUUUUUCGCGAGGUAUUCUUCAAGCUUCUCCGUGUCUGCCGCUAGUUAUCCUCAGCUCUCUUUGCAAUGGCGGCACUGUAAACAACAGCGGCGUCCUUACCAAUCACAAGCUUGCAUAAUCCUUCUCGUUGGUCUCGUUUGACGGAUAUUUAAAAAAGUGGGCUCGACUCCGUACGUACUUGCGUGCCUGCCGGAGCCCUACGCAAGGAUGGAUAAUGGCGUUGCGUGUCUCCGCACUGACGCAGAUGGAGAAGCAUAAAUCAGGCUUUAGGCCAAGGUCCUGCCUCAAGUGGAGAAAUUUAAGUAUCUUGGGGUCUUGUUCAUGAGUGACGGAAAGUUGGAGCGUGAGAUCAACAGGCGGAUUGGUGCUGCAUCUGCAGUGAUGCGGGCGUUGUGGCAUCACUAACCCCAAAAUUCCACUAUCUCUGCUCCGCUCCAGCACGAACUCCGCGGUUAAAACGGUCCCGUUGUAGUCAAUCAGAGCUGUUCCACCACUGCGGCCGUGCGGCGCAGUGCGCCGCCUGCCGUUCCGUCAUCCGGCAAAAAUAGGAUUGAUUCUAUUUUUGCCGGAUGCCGGAGCACCUCCACAGUCAAUGGACAGAAAUCACAACCGCCCAACAGGAAAGGGAGCAAGUACAACUUCCGUUAUUUCACAAUAAAUUGAUAAACAAAAAGUGUUUUUUGUUUCAUAUGCACAGGUUUAACAACUUUUAACAAAUAUCAAUGGUGGUUGAACUUUAAAUGCACAAAAAUAAUCCAUAAAUACAGUUUCCACUAUCAAAGUAGUCACACUUUGUUGAUCCAAACACUGCUGAUCUCUCAACACAAAUGAUAGGCAGAUUAAACAGUUCAUUUUGAUGCUUCUCCCACACAACGGGUGUUUGGAUCUAACUUCCGCAUUUAUUGCUCGGACUGUAUCGCAAGAUCUCGAAAAUCCUGCGCAUGCCUGUUUGCGCACCUCAGGUCUCCGCACCGGAGCAGAGCCGUUGCAGAGUGGGUAUAGUAUAAUUUGAGUUCGGAAGCGAGCAGCAGCGGAAAGCGGGGGCGGAGUGGAGCGGAGAUAGUGGAAUUUUGGGGUUAGUGGCAAAUAGAUCUGAAGGUCAUCAGUAAAACAGUGAAAAGUAAUUUUAUACUUCUCAAAAAUAGAGCCUAAGGAGAGCAUAUACGAAGAAAAAAGUGCUGGACCCAAAAUGGAGCCCUGAGGCACACUGCAUAUCAGAGAUGCUUUUUUUGAGGUAAAAGGACCCAGAUUAACAAAAAAUGACCUCUUGUGAAGGUAAGAUUUAAACCACUGGAGAACAUUACCUCAGAGACCAACACAUGACUCUAGGCAGGACAACAAAAUGCCAUGAUCAACGGUGUCAAAAGCAGUCGGCAGAUCAAGUAAAACCAGAGCUGCUGACUGGCCUGAAUCAGCAAUUAAAAGAAGGUCAUAAAAAAACUUGUAAAAGAGCACUUUCAGUGCUAUGACGGGGCUUAAAACUUGACUAAAUUUUUUCUGAAAUGUUGUUAAGGGACAAGUAGUCCUGGAGCUAAGGGGAAAAACAACUUUUUCAAGGUGACAAGCUUGGUCAUCCUGGAGGGGCUCGGAGUAGAUAUACUGCUUUUCUGGGCACAUCAAACCGGGAGAAGACCCAAGAAAAGACCCAGGACUUGACGAAGGGGCUAUGUUUCUCGGUUGGCCUGAGAACACUUUGGGAUUUCCCCCGAGGAGCUGGCCCAAGUAGCUGGGGAGAGGGAAGUCUGGGCCUCCCUGUUUAGGCUGCUUCCCCCCGCGGCCCGACCCCAGAGAAGUGGAGAAAAAAGGAUGGAUGAACAUUCUAAUACUAACAUUCACAUCUCAUUAUACUGUAAUUGUAAGACUUGUUUGAAAUUACUAUACUUUUCUAGACAUCUGUAUAUAAAAUGGCUCGUCUACCAAUCAGAUCUGACAUUAAAAUAUGAUAAAAUGCUUUAAUCACAUUUAGCCUCUCAUAAUGACUCCAAAAAUAAGCAAAUAAACACUGUCCAUUACCACAAACCCAGGUGGUUUCCAAUAAAGUGUUGCUAGGACAUAUUAAUGCCACCUAACAGUGAAAUCUCAGCCCAUAAUUACAAAGCAUGGUGCCAUUUUACCAUUUAAAUCAGUGUACACGUGUCUCAAUUCUCUGAGAUUCAUUAAAACUAAACAGUAAAUUAUUUGGAUCUUAGUUCGGCUUCAAGAAUAAUAUUCUGCAUCUUUCUGUCAUCUAGUGCCACACACACACACACACACACACACACACACACACACACACACACACACACACACACGCGCGCACACACACACACACACACACACACGCGCACACACACACACACACACACACACACACACACACACAUACAUCCCAAAAACAUACAAGAAUACAUAAACCCCUGAGCUUUGCAAGCCCACUUAGUAGAGAGCAACUAAUCUAAUCAAGUCUAGCAGCUAAUGCACAGUGAAAGCAGACUCAUUCACUCAAGAUCGCAGUCAUCCACUUCCUGUGCGGGAGAGAGAGCCAAACAGGAGAAAGUUCAGCAUUUAGAGGACACACCGUGUGAUGGAGAACUAAUUGAUCAGUAGUUGUACAACAAUCGUUUUCACUGGAUCUUUUCUGUCAGUUUCGCUCUUCAGUAUCAGCAGUUUACCCCUUCGAAGGCAGCCCGAUCUGUCGCCUCUCCUCUCACUUACCUG